GUGGGGAAUUUUGGACAAUGGGGGCAACCCUGAUCCAGCCAUUCCGCGUGAGUGAAGAAGGCCUUCGGGUUGUAAAGCUCUUUCGUCAGGAACGAAACGGCGGGCUCUAACAUAGCCUGUUAAUGACGGUACCUGAAGAAGAAGCACCGGCUAACUACGUGCCAGCAGCCGCGGUAAUACGUAGGGUGCGAGCGUUAAUCGGAAUUACUGGGCGUAAAGCGUGCGCAGGCGGAUUGUUAAGCAAGACGUGAAAUCCCCGGGCUUAACCUGGGAAUGGCGUUUUGAACUGGCAGUCUAGAGUGCGUCAGAGGGGUGUGGAAUUCCACGUGUAGCAGUGAAAUGCGUAGAGAUGUGGAGGAACACCGAUGGCGAAGGCAGCCCCCUGGGAUGACACUGACGCUCAUGUACGAAAGCGUGGGUAGCAAACAGGAUUAGAUACCCUAGUAGUCC
rnacentral:rRNA from 1 species